AGAAUAGCUGGCAGAAGUUCAGCCUUAAGAAUAAUUAACUGAUGGGAAAAACAUUUCUGCUGAAACACAUCAAAUGAAAAAUCCAUACAAACGUUUUGUUAAAAAGCUUGGGUUUGAUGCCACCCUUUCAGAAAUUGUGAAGCUUUUCCAGAUGCCUGCACACCUCUGAGCCACAGACCCCCAGGCUUACCCAGGGCCUGGGUCCUGCUCAGCUGGCCCCUGUAGUGCUCUGGAGUGGAGGUGAAUGAGCUUUGCUGCUUCCCAUCCACGGUUUCCUUAGCAAUGGCAUCGCCUUUCAACGUGCAGCGUUGCAAUUAUUGCCAGAGCUUUACCAUCUGCCUAUUGCCAUCUACAUCCUUCUGUGCUCUGACCACAGUCUGUAUGAAGUCUGCGUGUGCCCUCCACUGCAUGGGAAUGGUCCAAGCCUCUCGUGGCACUUGCGCAGCUGCAUGAACUGGAUGAGACAGCUGUGACGUUUGGUUAUUGCUCCAGCAGGACGUGGGCAGGGCAAGGAAGCUGCAGCCACCUGGCAGGUGAUGGGUAUGGCCAGGACUCGCCUCCCAGCUCGGGUCUGAGUCAGGUUUGACUGAGAGAAAGUGAUGAUGUGGCCACGGAGGACCAAAGCAGAAGUGGCCCCCAAGAAGCAAAGACAGAGCCCUGGAAAGUGCUGCUGGCAGUGCCUUAGCCAUGAUUCUCUUGCGGCACCCUGGGCUCUCCUUACAUUUCCCUUCAGCAACUUGAGAGGGAGGAAACAAAAACAACCUUCAAAAACUAACAGAAAACCAAAACAAACCAAAGCAAAAAGACAGCCCCGGAGUAAUCUCUCUUUAGAGAACUCGAAACUCAACCUGCUGAAGAUAUCCACUGUCAUGGGUUAAUGCCAAGUCCUGCACCAAACUGCGCGAGAAAGACACCGAGAGCAAAACAAGUGAAAAGGCCCUGCGAGGAAGGAAGCAGCUGCACAGUCAUACUUUGGUACUGCCAGAGACAUCUGGAGUUUCUGCUUGCACGUGUCUAUGUCAACAGCUAGCACCAGGACGACCCAAAAGCUACACUGCACAUUUGAGAUGAACUACAAUUAAUCCUUGGACCACAUGUGGCUCUGGAGGGCUCCAAAAAGAGGACAGAGAGUGCGGCUUUCCAAGCGGCUGCGGGAGAGCUGCAUCACUAGAGCUCUGUCCCUUGCCUACUUCCUUGCAAGCAAAAUGAGAAGCGCGGUGAGACGUCAGCAAUACUGAAACCUAUCUUAAAUGCAAUCCACCAAGGAGUCAAGGGCACAGCUUGCUAAUGUCACCAUUCUCUCCUGGGUUUUCCCCCACGUGUUCACAUGGCAGAAACAACUGCACAUGCUUUCACUCCAGGAUAUGUUUUUGAGAAUAGAUAUAAUGAGAAGUACAAACCAGGGCUCCAGCAGACCUCCUCCAUCCCUGCUCCAAGGUGGACUUCUGCUUCUCUACAAGAUUUUUGUUAUGAUCUCUUCAGACACAUAUUCAUCAAGUACCAACAAAGAGCUUUCAAAACACUAUCAAUGUCUGCUAUUAACAAAACGGGAGCAUGUAAAGCAGUUAAGCCUUGAAAUUCAUACUGGAUGAAAGCAAAGAGAUGCUUUUAAACUCAAUCUACAUUACUUUUCAUCUGUGGAGGUUAGGAAAGCCACGGCUAGAACAGCAUGGUUGGAUUCAGUUCUGGCUAGGGCUUGCUGAUUAAUCCAUCCAGAACCACACAACAUCACCACGUACACGUUACGUGCACGUGCUUGUGCCACUGGAAGCAGCAGCACAAAGACCCACACAUCGAAUCGUAGUCCUGUCCAGAAGCAGGGUGAAACACAAAAGUCCCUCCACAAUGGUAACACCUAUUCAAGGCAGCACUUGCUGAGGGCAUUAGCCACACAUGUGUUUCUGUAAGCACACAGAGAAAGAGUGAGCAGAUUCUUCCACCACUGAAACCUCCAAAGUUAGUGCUGCUUUUACCUGAGCUACAAAUUCAUUUCCAUCAUAGGGAGUUUCUUUUUCCAGCUGUUGAUGAGAAUAUUACAACUGUGCAUUUCAGAGCCUACUUUUAAUGUUGAUAACAAAGUGCAGCUGUACUCUGCUGAUAACAGCCUCCAUCCCACACCAUGAAGUGUGCACAGCUGGGCUGAUGCUCUAUUCCAAAAUGCUUCCUAUGUGAAUAUUUUAAAGCAAAGUUUAGACUUGUUAAUCUACAUAGCUGUGGUGGAGGGCCACAUAGGCCCAAAUAGGGUUACUCACAGGCCUGUGCUUGCCUGGACAUGUUUCCCCGCCAAAAGGUGUUUUUCUGUCUAACCCAGGGGAAAACACAUUGAGCAGGCAAAGGGACACAACAAGCCUGGCACCUUAGAGUCUGGCCUGCCCU